AACGAACGCUGGCGGCAUGCCUAACACAUGCAAGUCGAACGAGACCUUCGGGUCUAGUGGCGCACGGGUGCGUAACGCGUGGGAACCUGCCCUUAGGUUCGGAAUAACUCCCCGAAAGGGGUCCUAAUACCGGAUAAUGUCUUCGGACCAAAGAUUUAUCGCCUUUGGAUGGGCCCGCGUUGGAUUAGCUAGUUGGUAGGGUAAAAGCCUACCAAGGCGACGAUCCAUAGCUGGUCUGAGAGGAUGAUCAGCCACACUGGGACUGAGACACGGCCCAGACUCCUACGGGAGGCAGCAGUGGGGAAUAUUGGACAAGGGGCGAAAGCCUGAUCCAGCAAUGCCGGGUGAGUGAUGAAGGCCUUAGGGUUGUAAAGCUCUUUUACCCGGGAUGAUAAUGACAGUACCGGGAGAAUAAGCUCCGGCUAACUCCGUG
rnacentral:rRNA from 1 species